UAGUUGGUAAGGUAACGGCUUACCAAGGCGACGAUCAGUAGCCGACCUGAGAGGGUGAUCGGCCACAUUGGAACUGAGACACGGUCCAAACUCCUACGGGAGGCAGCAGUGGGGAAUAUUGCACAAUGGGCGAAAGCCUGAUGCAGCAACGCCGCGUGAGUGAUGCAGGCCUUCGGGUCGUAAAACUCUGUCCUCAAGGAAGAUAAUGACGGUACUUGAGGAGGAAGCCCCGGCUAACUACGUGCCAGCAGCCGCGGUAAUACGUAGGGGGCUAGCGUUAUCCGGAUUUACUGGGCGUAAAGGGUGCGUAGGCGGUCUUUCAAGUCAGGAGUGAAAGGCUACG
rnacentral:rRNA from 1 species